rnacentral:rRNA from 1 species
AUUGAACGCUGGCGGCAUGCCUUACACAUGCAAGUCGAACGGUAACAGGUCUUCGGAUGCUGACGAGUGGCGAACGGGUGAGUAAUACAUCGGAACGUGCCUAGUAGUGGGGGAUAACUACUCGAAAGAGUGGCUAAUACCGCAUGAGAUCAACGGAUCAAAGCAGGGGAUGGCAAGACCUUGUGCUACUAGAGCGGCCGGUGGCAGAUUAGGUAGUUGGUGGGAUAAAAGCUUACCAAGCCGACGAUCUGUAGCUGGUCUGAGAGGACGAUCAGCCACACUGGGACUGAGACACGGCCCAGACUCCUACGGGAGGUAGCAGUGGGGAAUUUUGGACAAUGGGCGAAAGCCUGAUCCAGCAAUGCCGCGUGCAGGAUGAAGGCCUUCGGGUUGUAAACUGCUUUUGUACGGAACGAAAAGCCCCGGGUUAAUACCCUGGGGUCAUGACGGUACCGUAAGAAUAAGCACCGGCUAACUACGUGCCAGCAGCCGCCGUAA